rnacentral:miRNA from 1 species
UCGGCUGUGGCGUGACUGUCCCUCUGUGUCCCCCACCAGGCCCACUGCUCAGUGGAGCGUGGAAGACGAGGAGGAGGCC